GACGAACGCUGGCGGCGUGCUUAACACAUGCAAGUCGAACGGAAAGGCCCUGCUUUUGUGGGGUGCUCGAGUGGCGAACGGGUGAGUAACACGUGAGUAACCUGCCCUUGACUUUGGGAUAACUUCAGGAUACUGGGGCUAAUACCGGAUAGGAGCUCCUGCUGCAUGGUGGGGGUUGGAAAGUUUCGGCGGUUGGGGAUGGACUCGCGGCUUAUCAGCUUGUUGGUGGGGUAGUGGCUUACCAAGGCUUUGACGGGUAGCCGGUCUGAGAGGGUGACCGGCCACAUUGGGACUGAGAUACGGCCCAGACUCCUACGGGAGGCAGCAGUGGGGAAUAUUGCACAAUGGGCGGAAGCCUGAUGCAGCAACGCCGCGUGCGGGAUGACGGCCUUCGGGUUGUAAACCGCUUUCGCCUGUGACGAAGCGUGAGUGACGGUAAUGGGUAAAGAAGCACCGGCUAACUACGUG
rnacentral:rRNA from 1 species